rnacentral:rRNA from 1 species
UUAUCCGGAUUUACUGGGUGUAAAGGGAGCGUAGACGGUAUGGCAAGUCUGAAGUGAAAUGCGGGGGCUUAACCCCUGAACUGCUUUGGAAACUGUCGCACUAGAGUGCAGGAGAGGUAAGUGGAAUUCCUAGUGUAGCGGUGAAAUGCGUAGAUAUUAGGAGGAACACCAGUGGCGAAGGCGGCUUACUGGACUGUAACUGACGUUGAGGCUCGAAAGCGUGGGGAGCAAACAGGAUUAGAUACCCUGGUAGUCCACGCCGUAAACGAUGAUUACUAGGUGUCGGUGAGUAUGACUCAUCGGUGCCGUCGCAAACGCAGUAAGUAAUCCACCUGGGGAGUACGUUCNCAAGAAUGAAACUCCCAGGAAUUGACGGGGACCCGCACAAGCGGUGGAGCAUGUGGUUUAAUU